AACGCUAGCGGCAAGCCUAACACAUGCAAGUCGAACGGUAACUUUUGGUGCUUGCACCGAAAGACGAGUGGCGAACGGGUGCGUAACGCGUAUGCAAUCUGCCUUUUACUAGGGUAUAGCCCAGAGAAAUUUGGAUUAAUCCCCUAUAAUAUCAUUUAAUCGCAUGAUUUUAUGAUUAAAGCUUCGGCGGUAAAAGAUGAGCAUGCGUCCUAUUAGUUAGUAGGUGAGGUAACGGCUCACCUAGACUCCGAUAGGUAGGGGUCCUGAGAGGGAGAUCCCCCACACUGGUACUGAGACACGGACCAGACUCCUACGGGAGGCAGCAGUGAGGAAUAUUGGACAAUGGACGAAAGUCUGAUCCAGCUAUGCCGCGUGCAGGAUGACGGCCCUAUGGGUUGUAAACUGCUUUUAUACAGGAAGAAAAACUCCGACGUGUCGGAACUUGACGGUACUGUAAGAAUAAGGAUCGGC
rnacentral:rRNA from 1 species